rnacentral:rRNA from 1 species
CGAGAGGACCGGAGUGGACGCAUCACUGGUGUUCGGGUUGUCAUGCCAAUGGCACUGCCCGGUAGCUAAAUGCGGAAGAGAUAAGUGCUGAAAGCAUCUAAGCACGAAACUUGCCCCGAGAUGAGUUCUCCCUGACCCUUUAAGGGUCCUGAAGGAACGUUGAAGACGACGACGUUGAUAGGCCGGGUGUGUAAGCGCAGCGAUGCGUUGAGCUAACCGGUACUAAUGAACCGUGAGGCUUAACCUUACAACGCCGAAGCUGUU